GUCAACGAUCAUACCAUGUUGAAAACACCGGUUCUCGUCCGAUCACCGAAGUUAAGCAACAUCGGGCGCGAUCAGUACUUAGAUGGGUGGGUGACCGCUUGGGAACGUCGCGUGUCGUUGGCA